rnacentral:tRNA from 1 species
GGCUCUAUGGUGCAGCGGCUAGCACAUCUGACACUUAUUCAGAAGAUGUAUGUUCGAUUCAUACUGGGGCCA